rnacentral:lncRNA from 1 species
UUUAACCCUAAAAAGCCUCCACCGCCUUCUCUUCAUAAUCACUGGAGACGGAAGGUGAUUGCACCGUUGUUGAGUAAAGGGUGUAGGAUGCUCCCAAUCUGGAUGGGUUACGCCAAGGAAGAAGCAACCUUGGACUGUACCUCAAUAUUCGAAAGAUAGGAUAAGUAAAUGGAAAACUGGUAUGCGGCACUUAUCAAUUCUUUCAGGCGACUCUGCAGCCGUGCACAUCACAUAGGAAGUUCCCCUGCGCUAUAUUACCAGGAAAUCCACUUUUGGGAUUCGAGGGGUUCAAGUGUGUAAUAGUAAACGAGUGCCAACUCAAGGAAGAGGGCUACCCAAGGCGAAGCAGGGGAAGAAGGGGGGCCAGAUAAGGUUGAUCGUUUCCUAAUCGCGAUUGCCGCCGGUCAUCUGUCCUUCAACCUCUAGCCUCCACCGCUACAACACCGCCAGUUUCUUCAGAUUUCAAGGCUCAAGCAACGCGCGAGGUCAUGAGUUCAAUCUAGUAAUUUUUAGAAUCUGAAGCUAAUUAUAUUCUUCAUUUUUGCUUGAUGAUGGGAAGAAAUCGUUAUGCUCUCGACGUUAUUGUGGGGGAAAAAUAGAUGGAAUAGAAGAAGAUUUCUGACCUUUUUCUCUGGACAUUCUGGAAGCGACAAUUCGAUUAUUAAUUAAAGAAUUAAUUCGUCUAAUGAGUAGCCAAGUGGAAGUGUGGAACUGAUAAAGGUAUUAGGUGACAGCUUUAGCGUGCUCAUUAAAUUCUAAACUUUCAAUUUUGUGAUAAUUGACAAAUAUAGCAUGCAAGUUAGAUUACAAAGGGUUAAGUUCUUGCAUGCUAGUCCGGUUUGUCGUGAUCUUGUAGGCUAUUUUAGACCUUCUAUGUGUUUUUUCUGUCAUGGCAAUUUACAGUCUGGUACUGUUUCUAGCAUAAAUGACUAAUUACAUUCAUGAGAUUUAUAU